rnacentral:rRNA from 1 species
GACGAACGCUGGCGGCGUGCCUAAUACAUGCAAGUCGAGCGGACUUUCAAGAAGCUUGCUUUUUGAAAGUUAGCGGCGGACGGGUGAGUAACACGUGGGCAACCUGCCUGUAAGACGGGGAUAACUCCGGGAAACCGGGGCUAAUACCGGAUAAUAUCUUUCUUCGCAUGAAGGAAGGUUGAAAGGCGGCGCAAGCUGCCGCUUGCAGAUGGGCCCGCGGCGCAUUAGCUAGUUGGUGAGGUAACGGCUCACCAGGGCGACGAUGCGUAGCCGACCUGCGAGGGUGAUCGGCCACACUGGGACUGAGACACGGCCCAGACUCCUACGGGAGGCAGCAGUAGGGAAUCUUCCGCAAUGGACGAAAGUCUGACGGAGCAACGCCGCGUGAGCGAAGAAGGUCUUCGGAUCGUAAAGCUCUGUUGUCAGGGAAGAACAAGUACCGUUCGAAUAGGGCGGUACCUUGACGGUACCUGACCAGAAAGCCACGGCUAACUACGUGCCAGCCGCCGCGGUAA